UACGUAGGUGGCAAGCGUUAUCCGGAAUUAUUGGGCGUAAAGAGCGCGCAGGUGGUUGAUUAAGUCUGAUGUGAAAGCCCACGGCUUAACCGUGGAGGGUCAUUGGAAACUGGUCGACUUGAGUGCAGAAGAUGGAAGUGGAAUUCCAUGUGUAGCGGUGAGAUGCGUAGAGAUAUGGAGGAACACCAGUGGCGAAGGCGGCUUCCUGGUCUGUAACUGACACUGAGGCACGAAAGCGUGGGGAGCAAACAGGAUUA
rnacentral:rRNA from 1 species